GGAGGAAAAGAAACUAACAAGGAUUCCCCUAGUAACGGCGAGUGAAGCGGGAAGAGCUCAAAUUUGAAAUCUGGUGGCCUCAGGUCAUCCGAGUUGUAAUCUAUAGAAGUGUUUUCCGUGCUGGCUCAUGUACAAGUCCCUUGGAACAGGGCGUCAUAGAGGGUGAGAAUCCCGUCCUUGACAUGAACUACCAGUGCUCUGUGAUACAUUUUCAACGAGUCGAGUUGUUUGGGAAUGCAGCUCAAAAUGGGUGGUAAAUUCCAUCUAAAGCUAAAUAUUGGCGAGAGACCGAUAGCGAACAAGUACCGUGAGGGAAAGAUGAAAAGCACUUUGGAAAGAGAGUUAAACAGUAUGUGAAAUUGUUAAAAGGGAAACGAUUGAAGUCAGUCGUGCUCUUUGGAUUCAGCCGGUUCUGCCGGUGUACUUCCUUUGAGUGGGGUCAACAUCAGUUUUGAUCGCUGGAUAAAGGCUGGAGGAACGUAGCACCCUCGGGUGAACUUAUAGCCUCCUGUCACAUACAGUGGUUGGGACUGAGGAACGCAGCACGCCUUUAUGGCCGGGAUUCGUCCACGUACGUGCUUA
rnacentral:rRNA from 1 species